rnacentral:rRNA from 1 species
CAGUAGCCACGGUAAUACGGAGGGUGCGAGCGUUAAUCGGAGUUACUGGGCGUAAAGCGUGCGUAGGCGGUUCGCUAAGACAGAUGUGAAAUCCCCGGGCUUAACCUGGGAACUGCACUUGUGACUGGCGGGCUAGAGUAUGGCAGAGGGGGGUAGAAUUCCACGUGUAGCAGUGAAAUGCGUAGAGAUGUGGAGGAAUACCGAUGGCGAAGGCAGCCCCCUGGGCCAAUACUGACGCUCAUGCACGAAAGCGUGGGGAGCAAACAGGAUUAGAUACCCGUGUAGUCCCUGUCUCUUAUAU